CUGAAGGGACGUUGAAGACGACGACGUUGAUAGGCCGGGUGUGUAAGCGCAGCGAUGCGUUGAGCUAACCGGUACUAAUGACCCGUGAGGCUUAACCUUACAACGCCAGAGGCGUUU
rnacentral:rRNA from 1 species